rnacentral:lncRNA from 1 species
GCAGUUUCCAGCUUGACUUACCUUUGCUGAGUGAUUUUGGGGUCCGGAAACGUAUGUUCCGUCCAUCAUGAAGGGCCCCAGCCUAUCCCAUCACAGUGAGGGGUGGGGCAUGACCUGGAGCCGCAGUUGGCAACGGGAGUGGCUUUAGCCCCCCGACCACCCUAACAUCUUGCACUGUCUGGGGGCUCCCCGGGCUCAGCAACACCCACCUCUGUGGCUGGGAGCUGGGCUCAGCCACAUCCCUGCAACUUCUCCGGGACACCGCCAUCCAGCUACGCCAAGGCUUGACGGCGGCUCCAUGUUUCCUGCCAAUGGCGGUGCUAUUAACUUAUACAGAAAGCUCACAUUUGCCAUCACUCCCCUUUACGAAUCGCUUCACCCUCUGACCAGAUCCCCUCACAGUCACUUUCUAGAACUCAUUCUGGUGCCAGCUAUCUUUAUGGACAGAAAACUACAUUUUGAAAUCAAAUCAAGUGUGUUCUAUUUUCCAUCGAAAUAAAUCUGGAGCACUUUCUGCCUCUUUGGAUGCUCUCUUAAAACUACCUUUUAGCUAUGCCAUAGCACACAAAUUCAAAAUGCCUUCAAAUGUUGAAUCA